rnacentral:rRNA from 1 species
UACGUAGGGGGCAAGCGUUGUCCGGAAUUAUUGGGCGUAAAGAGCUCGUAGGCGGUUUGUCGCGUCUGCUGUGAAAACCUAAGGCUCAACCUUGGGCUUGCAGUGGGUACGGGCAGACUAGAGUGCGGUAGGGGUGACUGGAAUUCCUGGUGUAGCGGUGGAAUGCGCAGAUAUCAGGAGGAACACCGAUGGCGAAGGCAGGUCACUGGGCCGCAACUGACGCUGAGGAGCGAAAGCAUGGGGGAGGCGAACAGG